AGUCACCUGUUAAUACAAGAAUUAAAACGAACAUCCGAUAACCAUUUCAAAAUAAGUUCAAAAGCUCGAUCCAACGUCGAGUAAUCAUUUUCAAAACUUAACAGAACCAGCACGCAUUCAUCCAUCCUCUUGUAAGUCGAUUGCCUCAGGCAUCGCCAUCUACCUGUAAGUCGAUUGCCUUUGGCAUCGUCAUCUACCCUUAUCCAUAACUCCUCUCCGCGCUCCAUCUGUCGACUCUUGUUCCGUUUAGGUAGCAC
rnacentral:lncRNA from 1 species